GUGUAGUUCUGCUAUCAUCUGCUAAAUCUGAGCAGUAUUUAACGACAAAAGCAGCCCAGCUGAAACAAAUUUUCUCCUUUGUGGAGGAAGAGAUAAUUCAGUGAAAAAGUGGCAGAGCUCUAACAAAAGGCUCAGUCCUGAGAGAUGCUUAGCAGUCUGGCACUGAUCCACCAUGGCCCCAAGUUUGAAAACUGCGGACCUAACCGUGUCUGUACUUUCAAGCACUUACUUAGGCACACUGCAAGAGCAAAACACUGCAGAUCCUGCAGGAUACAGGCCCAAAGGAGAAGAUGACAUAACCUGAGCACUGCUUCUGGGGAUGACAGGGGUUUAUGAAAUGCUAAGACAGCUGGUGAGAUAUCAGCUAAACUCUGAACACAAAGUAAAACCAAGCCAAACACUUGGAUACAAUACAGUAGAAGGGGAAAACCUGUGCCAUGCUGAAAUUUCGUAAUCUCAUUUUUUUAAGUAUACACUGAGCAGUUUCAUUGGACUGUGCCUGAGCAAAAGGAGAAUAAGGAAAUGAGCUAAGGCUUCACCAUUGCCAAGUGGGAAUACAAACUUUGUCCUUAAUCUCAGAGGGUUUGGUAUUAGUUUCUAUCAA